rnacentral:tRNA from 1 species
UGGGAUGUGGCUCAGUGGUAGAGCACUUGCUUAGCAUGUGUGAGACUCUGGGCUUGAUCCUCAACACCCCAU